UUAAACUGAAGAGUUUGAUCAUGGCUCAGAUUGAACGCUGGCGGCAGGCUUAACACAUGCAAGUCGAACGGUAACGGGAAAGAAACUUGUUUCUUUUGCUGACGAGUGGCGGACGGGUGAGUAAGGCUUGGGAAUUUGGCUUAUGGAGGGGGAUAACCACGGGAAACUGUGGCUAAUACCGCGUAAUAUCGAGAGAUUAAAGUAGUGGGACUUUUUAGCCACUAGCCAUAAGAUAAGCCCAAGUGAGAUUAGCUAGUUGGUGGGGUAAAGGCCUACCAAGGCGACGAUCUCUAGCUGGUCUGAGAGGAUGAC
rnacentral:rRNA from 1 species